rnacentral:rRNA from 1 species
AGGACGAACGCUGGCGGCGUGCUUAACACAUGCAAGUCGAACGAUGAAGGAGGAGCUUGCUCCUCCGGAUUAGUGGCGAACGGGUGAGUAAUACGUGAGCAAUGUGCCCUUGACUCUGGGAUAAGCGCUGGAAACGGCGUCUAAUACCGGAUACGACCCUCGGAGGCAUCUCCUGUGGGUAGAAAGAACUUCGGUCAAGGAUCAGCUCACGGCCUAUCAGCUAGUUGGUGAGGUAACGGCUCACCAAGGCGACGACGGGUAGCCGGCCUGAGAGGGUGACCGGCCACACUGGACUGAGACACGGCCCAGACCUCCGUACGGGAGGCAGCAGGUGGGAAUAUGCACAAUGGGCGCAAGCCUGAUGCAGCAACGCCGCGUGAGGACGACGCGUUCGGUUAGUAACCUUCUUUAAGCGAAGGAAGAAGCGAAGGAGUAGACGGUACCUAGACGAAGAAAAAGACCAACCGGACGUAAACCGUAACGUCGACCCG